rnacentral:rRNA from 1 species
CAUCUCGAGCAUAGGCGAAAGCCGGGCUUAGUGAUCCGGUGGUUCUGUAUGGAAGUGCCAUCGCACAUCGAAUAAAAGGUACUCUGGGGAUAACAGGCUUAUCACGUCCAAGAGUUCAUAUCGACGACGUGGUUUGGCACCUCGAUGUCGGCUCACCGCAUCCUGGGGCUGAAGCAGGUCCCAAGGGUUGGUCUGUUCGCCCAUUAAAGCGGUACGUGAACAAAAUCGCGCCCUGUGAAAGUAAUUUCACAGGUG